AUUUAAUAUGUGUGCAUCAACCACACAUAUUCAUGCAUGCAAACAUACCUUUGUGAUUUAGUACAAUGCCUUGUCUAUAAUGGGUUGCAGAAUUUGAAAGUAAGGUCUGGUACAAUGUCAGUGCUAUCUGAUUUCUUAAUUUCUGAGGUCUCCUCUUUCUCUAGGGAGUUUUAUAUUCCUAACUAUGCCAAUGUUUCAGUCCUUAAUUUCCUCGAGUAGAGUGUGUGUGAGAGAUAUCUUUCCCCAUUUUUAAAGAAUUGUUAACAGCAACAACAACAAAAAAAUGAGUGAUAUGAGUAUGUAAUUCUUUCUCAGGAGUAUGCACUAUUUUAUUUUCUUCUGUUUCCUAAAGCUUUGCCCGCUUGGCUUAUGAGCUUCUUCAAAGAGGACUAGAGAUCCCUACACAGUAUAUCAGCUUGGACUACAGGAACCGGCUCAGCUGAUCGCCCAAGGUGUCCAAAAUAAAU
rnacentral:lncRNA from 1 species